GAUUAACGCUGGCGGCGUGCCUAACACAUGCAAGUCGAGCGGCAGCGAGUUUUACACUGACUUCUGGACGCUUCUAGUUGACAGAGAAGAUUUAUUCAAGAAUUUUGUGUAAAAUGUCGGCGAGCGGCGGACGGCUGAGUAACGCGUGGGAACGUACCCCAAAGUGAGGGAUAACGCAUCGAAAGGUGUGCUAAUACCGCAUAUGGUCUUCGGAUUAAAGCCUUCGGGCGCUUUGGGAACGGCCUGCGUAAGAUUAGAUAGUUGGUGGGGUAAUGGCCUACCAAGUCGACGAUCGUUAACUGGUUUGAGAGGAUGAUCAGUCAGACUGGAACUGAGACACGGUCCAGACUCCUACGGGAGGCAGCAGUGAGGAAUCUUCCACAAUGGGCGAAAGCCUGAUGGAGCAACGCCGCGUGCAGGAUGAAGGCCUUCGGGUUGUAAACUGCUUUUAUAAGUGAGGAUUAUGACAGUAACUGAUGAAUAAGGAUCGGCUAACUACGUG
rnacentral:rRNA from 1 species